UGGGAUUACGACAGUGGUUUUAUAAAAGGCUCGAGUGAUUUUGUCGACAACGUUCAUUUAGACAUCACGGACGCUCCCGAUCAAAACUCUACAUCUGCAAGCAACAAACCAAAGCGUAUGGCGUCAAACAGAUCUCCGAAAGAACGCUACAUAGAUCUCCAAAUUAAAAUCCACUGCGACGACAACUACUUGCUCCCAGACUGCGCGCGGGAAUGCACACCAAGUGACGACGCGUCAGGACACUAUACAUGCGAUUACGUCAGAGGUUUGAUAAUAUGUAACCAACACUGGUACGGAGACCGC